rnacentral:lncRNA from 1 species
CCCAGGUUGAGCAGGCUAUGUGAAGUCAGUCACAUGGCUCCAAAAUUAGAAGGGAUAAUUAGAGACUUACAGUCACACAUGUCCCCAUGGGUUCCUUUGUGUCUGGGUGUUUCUCUCUCGCAGGCCUGUCAGGAGAUGACCACAACUCCAACCAUAGUGGCUAUUGCUUUGAUAAGGGGAAACCAACACGACUAGAUGGUAAUUCUGAAAUGGGGAGCACUGAAAUUCUGGAAAAGGAGACCACAGAGAAUCUUAGCAAUGGCACUAACAGCAAUGUGGAAGCAGCUAAAAGAUUGGCCAAACGCUU